GAGAGAGAGAGAGAGAGAGAGAGAGAGAGAGAGAGAGAGGUAGACAGAGUGAGAGAGGUAGACAGAGUGUGUGAGAGAGAGAGAGAGAGGUAGACAGAGUGAGAGAGGUAGACAGAGUAAGAGUGAGAGAUAUAUUCACUUUAUAUAUUAUCUACCUCACUUGCUUUGGCAAUGUUAACACAUGUUUCCCAUGCCAAUAAAGCCCUUGAAUUGAAUUGAAAUUGAAUUGAGAGGUAGACAGAGUGAGAGAGAUGGACAGAGUGAGAGAGGUAGAGUGAAAAAGGUAGACAGAGUGAGAGAGGUAGACAGAGUGAGAGAGGGAGAGAGAGUAAGAGCGAGAGAGGUAGAGUGAGAAAGGUAGACAGAGUGAGAGAGGUAGACAGAGUGAGAGAGGGAGAGAGAGUAAGAGCGAGAGAGGUAGACAGAGUGAGAGAGGUAGACAGAGUGAGAGAGGGAG
ensembl:lncRNA